GUUCCAAAAAUUAUUUUCUUGUGGUAUUCCUACUAAUUAAAGGGUCCUUUACAACUUGGUGUAAUUAUUUUGGAAGAAAGAACACUUGUUUCUUCAAGUUGACAACUUGGUCAAGUGAAGAAGAUUGUAGAAAAAGAUUUUGGCGAACUUGAAACUUGAUUUUGGAGACGUGUAUGAAUCGGAAAAGGUCAACAGGUAGACAGAUUUGACUCUUAGAAGCUCCAUCAGCAGUACUGUGGCAGCGCUCCAGUUGUUCCGGAGCCUCAGUUUCUUGGUACUACUUUUGUGUACAUAUUCGGGCACGGUAGAACCGGUCCUUCUUGUAUAUGUAGAUGUACUUUGUUUAGAGGCUCGUAGACAGAUAUGUACAGUCAGAUGUUUUGUACUUUUGUGGUCCUCGUCGUUGUAUAAUGUGCUAGCAAAGUUUAUAAGUCCAUGUCUACAAUUAUGCCAUUAAUGUUAGCGUUAAGCAACA